rnacentral:rRNA from 1 species
AUGCAAGUCUUCCACAAGCUCGUCCUUAUCUUCGAGACGACCACCAAGAUCAUAAAAGCUUCACAAAAUCCAUUCCAUCGCAAUGGUUUGCAAGACCGCCUUCAUGAGCACGAACAACAUCAUCGUCAAGAACAAGAUGCCAUGAACAAGGAGCAAGCUCGACAACGUCAACGCCAAGAAGAGCAAGACGGCGGUGCACUACGACAAGAACAACAUCGCCGUGAGGAACAAGUACUUGAAGCACAACGUGCUCUCCAAGAAGCCACUCGCGCUGUCAAUGAGUGCAACCGUCGUGUGGGAGAAGAAGAAGAGGCACGCCGUCAAGUACGCCAAGAGGAAGCCGCGCAUCUUGAGGAGUGCCAAGAAAGGAGGAACCGGGCAAGAAUCCCUCGCCCUCAAUGA